AGAGGAGCUGUCCUUAGUACGAGAGGACCGGGAUGGACGUACCUCUGGUGUACCAGUUGUUCCGCCAGGAGCACCGCUGGGUAGCUAUGUACGGAAGGGAUAACCGCUGAAUGCAUCUAAGCGGGAAGCCCCCCUCAAAACCAGGUAUCCCUUGAGAGCCGUGAUAGACCAUCACGUCGAUAGGCCGGGUGUGGAAGCGUGGUGACAUGCGAAGCUAACCGGUACUAAUCGCUCGAUCGGCUUGAAGAG
rnacentral:rRNA from 1 species